GACGAACGCUGGCGGCGUGCUUAACACAUGCAAGUCGAACGGAAAGGCCCUGCGUUUGUUGGGUUCUCGAGUGGCGAACGGGUGAGUGUCACGUGAGUAACCUGCCCUUGAAUUUGGGAUAACUUCAGGAAACUGGGGCUAAUACCGGAGAGGAUCUCCUGCAGCAUGGUGGGGGUUGGAAAGUUUCGGCGGUUGUGGAUGGACUCGCGGCUUAUCAGCUUGUUGGUGGGGUAGGUGCUUACCAAGGCUUUGACGGGUAGCCGGCCUGAGAGGGUGACCGGCCACAAUGGGACUGAGGUACGGCGCAGACGGCUACGGGAGGCAGCAGUGGGGAAUAUUGCACAAUGGGCGGAAGCCUGAUGCAGAGACGCCGCGUGCGGGAUGACGGCCUUCGGGUUGUAAACCGCUUUCGCCUGUGACGAAGCGUGAGUGACGGUAAUGGGUAAAGAAGCACCGGCUAACUACGUG
rnacentral:rRNA from 1 species